CGCCUAAAACAUGCAAGUCGAGUGGGUUUAGACCCACGGCAGACGGCUGCGUAACACAUGGGUACCUACCCCGAACUCAGGAAUAUCCCGCCGAAAGGCGGAGUAAUGCCGGAUAGUCCCGCAAGGGUAAAGCUUUCGCGGUUCGGGAGGGGCCUGUGCCCUAUCAGUUAGUUGGUAAGGUAACGGCUUACCAAGACAAUGACGGGUAGCUGGAUUGAGAGAUCGACCAGCCAGAAUGGAACUGAGAUACGGUCCAUACUCCUACGGGAGGCAGCAGUUAGGAAUCUUCCGCAAUGGGCGCAAGCCUGACGGAGCGACACCGCGUGAAGGAUGGAGCCCUUUCUGGGUGUAAACUUC
rnacentral:rRNA from 1 species